rnacentral:lncRNA from 1 species
AUUCUUUUCCAUUCUUUUUUCCCCCUUUCAUUCUAUACGUUCUUGAGUAAUUUGUUUACAGAUCUAACCCAGUCUAAAAAGGGGUGGGUCCUAAAUCCCUUCUAUACUAUUUAGAGGUCCCACAACUCCAUCAACUGAUGAGAGGUUAACCAUUUAAUGACAGAACAGGAUCAGAUGUUGAUGAUCUCGAGCAUAACUUGGUGUUGGCCAAAAAUACAAUGAAAUCAUAAGGUGAGAAGCAUAGAAGGGGAUGUAUACUACCAAUGUGGAGAUUUAGUUAGGCAGGUUAAUGAAAAGCUAGGUCCUAGGUUCUAUGUAAUUGAAGUUGCCUGCUAGCAGCUGUCUACUCCUGUUGAUAUUCAAGCAUUGCUUACCUUUCUAUCUGAUGAGUGAUGAAUGGGAGCUUGAGAUACAGCCUGACGCAGCAAAGGUGCUGGAUUACAGAAUCAAUACAGAGGAUCUCACCAAGGUCCUAAUUAAAUGACAGGACCUUCCUGACUUUGAAAAUUCUUGGGAACAUCUACACAAGACUGCAAGAAUAGUUUCCUACAUUUUACCUUGAAGACAAGUUGAAGGCUUCUGGGGAAAGUAUUGUCAGGUGACCACCUAUCACUAUGGUUUAUAUUAGGAUUAGGAAAGAAUGCAGAGAGGCAAUCAAGGAGAAUCAAAUGCUUAAUGUAACAGAGUGCAUGAGAACAAGCAAGGGGAAUUGAGUGAUUUGUGUAACUGAUAGGACCUUUGCUCCUAUUGCUAUUGGAUUCUAUACUAAAAGGAAGGGGGUUCUAGGAGGGUGAGGAGGAGCUGAGUUGACAUGUUAUAGCAAGAUAUAGGGGCAAAGUUAGCACGAUAGUGUGGAAUUUUGGUUAGACUUUCCACAGGGAUUUUUUUAUUGAUGAGCAUUAGCUUUGGUAGAAUGUGUCAAGGAGAUUCAUCUCGGGUUGUUACUUGUUUCCAUUUUCUGCUUGUAAAAGCUGCAGUCCAAGUCUUUUUAAUUAAAUAACACUCAUAUAGUAACACACUGGUUUCUUACCUUGGUGUUCCACUAAAUGGUGCAGUUCACUCGUCGCUACUCACUAGGAUGCCAUCUGGAAUAGAACCUAAGUUUGAUGAUGAGUCUGAAAUGAUCAUAGACAACGGUUGCUACAGAUAAGUCACAAAAUGAAGAACAAUCCAAAGUCAUUGAAGAGAUUGCAGAGGAAAAGACAAUCACUGAGGUGAAUAGUGAUUAAGAGAUCUUAGAUGUGGAGAGUGAUGGUGCAGAAAGAGAGUGUGAUCAAAUUUAAGUGGUUAUUAUGUUCCAUAAAUUUUUAGAAAAUAAAUUGGCUGGAUAUUGAUGUUCGGAAAUUGAGGUAACUUGAUACUCCCAGUGUUUCGUAUUUUCUAAGACCUAGGAUCAGCCAAACUCCAAUCAUUAUAAGGCUAGCAUGUGUUUUGUCUAAAUAAUUUCGUACAAAAAUUGGUGAUUGUGGGUGUCAGCCAUAGUUAUCAAUAUGGUGAGAGCAAGCAUCCCCACUCCUGAAGGUGGUGUCACGCUCACGCCUUGCUGUCAGUGGUUGUGCUACCUUUCACGGCAAUAACUGUGUGAAAUUGCACCAAUACACCACUUUUUCUGCCUUUCACGGCCAUAACUGUGUGAAAGGAGACACCACAAAAGUGGAAUCAUUUUGGCCCUUGGGAGGGGGGGGGGGGGAGAGUAUGAAGGGUAAGAAUUGCUUUAGACUUUAGAUUUUAAUCCACAAUAUUCAACCUCAACCCACUCAUUCAACAAUCACCCACACCUCAGCCUCCGAUCCUAAAUCCCAACCAUGCAACCCUCAUGAUUUUAGUCUUACAAUUCUCAGCCACAAGACAAUUAAUUCCCACCAUCUGGUACAUAGGAUAACCCCCUUAACUGACCAUAGCAAACCUCUUAACCAACCCCAACUAAGUUAUGUUUACAAUUGGCUUACUCCUCUUCCUAACAUUGACCUGUUUAACUAUAGGUCUGCUAUCAGUCAGCCACAUGGUGGGAAUCUUACUACUUCAAGACAUAAACCAUAAAAUUCUGAAAACGAGAAUUAAGUAUCAUUUGGUUGUAAUUUCAGACAAUGCAAGGUAGAGUAUUGAAUUUAAAACAAGCUCAAAAUAAAGUCCAAUCAUUGGUUUAACUAUAGGUCUGCUAUCAGUCAGCCACACGGUGGGAAUCUUAAUACUUCACGACAAAAACCAUAAAUAAAAUUCUGAAAACAAGAAUUAAGUAUCAUUCGGUCAUAAUUUCAGACAAUGCAAGGCAGAGUAUUGAAUUUAAAACAAGCUCAGAAGAUUUGAUCUCACAAGGGGUGUAUUUCAGACAAUAAAGUCCAAUCAUUGGUUGGAAAAUGAAUAAUUAAGAUUGUAAUAACUUCAUACUAUGUUAUACAUGUGCAUGUUUCUUAUCACAAUCCCUCGCUCUGAAGCAUUCAAAUCCCAAAAUAUUACCACUUGAUGUAACUGGAAACAAGAAAGCACGUAC